AGAGUUUGAUCCUGGCUCAGGACGAACGCUGGCGGCGUGCCUAACACAUGCAAGUCGAGCGGGGAUAUACGGAAGGUUUACCGGAAGUAUAUCCUAGCGGCGGACGGGUGAGUAACGCGUGGGUAACCUACCUCAUACAGGGGGAUAACACAGGGAAACCUGUGCUAAUACCGCAUAAUAUAACGGGGCGGCAUCGUCCUGUUAUCAAAGGAGAAAUCCGGUAUGAGAUGGGCCCGCGUCCGAUUAGCUAGUUGGUGAGGUAACGGCUCACCAAGGCGACGAUCGGUAGCCGAACUGAGAGGUCGGUCGGCCACAUUGGGACUGAGACACGGCCCAGACUCCUACGGGAGGCAGCAGUGGGGAAUAUUGCGCAAUGGGGGAAACCCUGACGCAGCAACGCCGCGUGAAGGAAGAAGGCCUUCGGGUUGUAAACUUCUUUGAUUGGGGACGAAGGAAGUGACGGUACCCAAAGAACAAGCCACGGCUAACUACGUGCCAGCAGCCGCGGUAAUACGUAGGUGGCGAGCGUUGUCCGGAAUUACUGGGUGUAAAGGGCGCGUAGGCGGGGAUGCAAGUCAGAUGUGAAAUUCCGGGGCUUAACCCCGGCGCUGCAUCUGAAACUGUAUCUCUUGAGUGCUGGAGAGGAAAGCGGAAUUCCUAGUGUAGCGGUGAAAUGCGUAGAUAUUAGGAGGAACACCAGUGGCGAAGGCGGCUUUCUGGACAGUAACUGACGCUGAGGCGCGAAAGCGUGGGGGAGCAAACAGGAUUAGAUACCCUGGUAGUCCACGCCGUAAACGAUGGAUACUAGGUGUAGGAGGUAUCGAC
rnacentral:rRNA from 1 species